ACUUCUUGAUAUAAAGAUCAGUGUAAAUAAAAAUAGUGUGAGAUACUAUUUUUAUUGAACUUAAAGAAGUAAAAUAUAAGUCGAAAAUGACUUGUGCUGAAAUUGGAGUGGAAACAGAAGAUUUAGAAUUUUCUGUAAAAAACGGGGAUGAUCUUUUAGCAGAAAAUUCACAGUGUCAGAAAAUUAUGAAAACUUGAGAAUAUGUCGGAAUUACUUUUAUGAGGCUAGAUUUAAUGUUUCAUGUCAUUCUAACAACUGGAAGGUGGAAAAUAAAAUCUGACUGUGAUCUACUAGAGAUUUUAGUCGGUAGAAUUUUUGGUGACAAAAAAUGGUCCAAACUGAAAAGUUAAGAUAUCUUUCUUCUUAUUAGUUUAAACCGAGUCUGACUGUCAAAUUUGAGUGCAAACGGACAUUCAAAAGGGCUCCGACGAAAAGUAUCAGAUUCUGAACUGCUAAACUGAAAUUGUAAUAGUGUUGGGGGACAUAUAUAUAAA
rnacentral:lncRNA from 1 species